GGCUUGGUGGCGGAGGGUCAGCAUCUGCCCAAUAUGCUUCAUCUUGAUGCAGACAUAGCCUGUUCGACUCAGGCCCGAGCCA